AGAUUCGCAUCUCCAUCAACGGUACGGAAGCCAUUUACAAUAUCGAUAAAAAAUCUGCUUCUGUUACGCUAGGAGUGGGAAUUUUCAAAUACGGGAUCAUCAAAUAUAUGAACAACACAAAACUCUUGACAUUAGCAAGAGCUCUCGGACCAUCGUAUGUUAGAAUGGGAGGAACAAAAUCUGAUCAUUCACAUUUCGUCCCAGGAAAUUUUGCCCGUCAAAGUCGAGAUAUGGAAAGCAACAAGUUAUGGGUUCUUCAAGCAGGAAUUGAGCUGGCAGUUAUAUGGUUCAUAUUAUUAGUUUUCCUAUUUCAUAAAAGAUUCUACACAGUGUGGAAACUAGAAGUUCAUUCUGCAAUUGUAAGUAGUAUCAUCUCAUCAUUAUCAAAAAUAAUAUAUUUUCACUGAGGAAAUGAGACAAAGAAACCCGACGUUGUCUGAAUGGAUGCGAUGAAUUCAAUUUUAUGUUAUAAAAUUUCAUUCUGAGUUAUUAUUUCAUGUUUGAAUAAAUUGAAAU